UUUGAUCAUGGCUCAGGAUGAACGCUGGCGGCGUGCUUAACACAUGCAAGUCGAACGAUGAAGCCCAGCUUGCUGGGUGGAUUAGUGGCGAACGGGUGAGUAACACGUGAGUAACCUGCCCUUAACUCUGGGAUAAGCCUGGGAAACUGGGUCUAAUACCGGAUAGGAGCGUCCACCGCAUGUGGGUGUUGGAAAGAUUUAUCGGUUUUGGAUGGACUCGCGGCCUAUCAGCUUGUUGGUGAGGUAAUGGCUCACCAAGGCGACGACGGGUAGCCGGCCUGAGAGGGUGACCGGCCACACUGGGACUGAGACACGGCCCAGACUCCUACGGGAGGCAGCAGUGGGGAAUAUUGCACAAUGGGCGCAAGCCUGAUGCAGCGACGCCGCGUGAGGGAUGACGGCCUUCGGGUUGUAAACCUCUUUCAGUAGGGAAGAAGCGAAAGUGACGGUACCUGCAGAAGAAGCACCGGCUAACUACGUGCCAGCAGCCGCGGUAAUACGUAGGGUGCGAGCGUUAUCCGGAAUUAUUGGGCGUAAAGAGCUCGUAGGCGGUUUGUCGCGUCUGUCGUGAAAGUCCGGGGCUUAACCCGGGAUCUGCGGUGGGUACGGGCAGACUAGAGUGCAGUAGGGGAGACUGGAAUUCCUGGUGUAGCGGUGGAAUGCGCAGAUAUCAGGAGGAACACCGAUGGCGAAGGCAGGUCUCUGGGCUGUAACUGACGCUGAGGAGCGAAAGCAUGGGGAGCGAACAGGAUUAGAUACCCUGGUAGUCCAUGCCGUAAACGUUGGGCACUAGGUGUGGGGACCAUUCCACGGUUUCCGCGCCGCAGCUAACGCAUUAAGUGCCCCGCCUGGGGAGUACGGCCGCAAGGCUAAAACUCAAAGGAAUUGACGGGGGCCCGCACAAGCGGCGGAGCAUGCGGAUUAAUUCGAUGCAACGCGAAGAACCUUACCAAGGCUUGACAUGUUCUCGAUCGCCGUAGAGAUACGGUUUCCCCUUUGGGGCGGGUUCACAGGUGGUGCAUGGUUGUCGUCAGCUCGUGUCGUGAGAUGUUGGGUUAAGUCCCGCAACGAGCG
rnacentral:rRNA from 1 species